rnacentral:ncRNA from 2 species
UUCUUAUCAAGAGAGGCGGAGGGACAAGGCCCGAUGAAGCCCGGCAACCGAUUCAAGGCUGGUUAUAACCGCUUGAAUGUCAUGGUGCCAAUUCCUUCAGAACCGGAUGUUCUGGCAGAUGAGAA